ensembl:lncRNA
AGCAUGAAGGGCCAGCGAUUUCAGAAUAAGUGAUUGCCAAACAUACAUCGGGCUCCUCAAAGCUCCCAUGACCUCUCAGAGAAAAUGAGGGAAGUUUCCCAGGGCUCUGUCCUCUUCAGACUAGGAGUUCUCUAACUAAGUGACCUCAAACUAACUGACAGCCUUCGAACUAACACGGAAACAGCCCACCUGGGAACAAAGUCAGCAUGGAGUAAACUGAUCUGGAAGAUACUAAGAGCUGGAGAGGCAGAGAUCUGAUAACAUCAGGCCCUGGAUCCAGCCAUUCCUGAAGCUAACUCUCUGGAUAUUACUGCUAUGUGAGCCCAUGAAUCUGGUUGGAGAGGAGCAUGAAAGGUUUACUGGAAGAGUUGACAUUUACCAUAGCCUUGACGGAGGAUGACCCGGUCAGGAUGGACUGUGCUGGGCUGCAAUGACAACCCCCUUCUGGAUCCUAUUGAAGGCUUGAGUUCCUAAGCACAAGACUCGUCUGCCAUUGGACAGAGCCUGCUGCAGGUCUGGACCGCCCUGAGUGCUCCACCCCCCAAGUCGUCCUCAAAGGGGUGGAAGUGGCUUCUUCUGGCAAAGUGCCCUCUCCAGUCCACACGCCAGGGCUCCCAUUUUUUAUUGAGGAAGUAGUGGCCUACUCCACUUUUGAACUUGAGCCUCUAUAUCUUUUGCCAGGUAAUAAACAGAGCAGCUCAGUAAAUGUUGAGAAUCGAAAUAGGGGAGGUAAGGGGAAAUGGAUGUGUGUAAGUGGAGUAAAAGAAAGCUGGCCUAAUUUUGUUCAUUACCAUGCCCCCAGUGUAUACAACAGAGGCUGAGCAGGUGCUCAAUCCAGUUACCCAAGAAAUGAGCCCAGCUUAACCUUCUCUUUGGGUGAAUGGGGAAACUGAAUCUUGGCGCUCCUCAGCUUUUCAGUCCUUUUCCCCAGCAGCUGAAUGCAGAACUUGGCUCAAAGCAGUGGCU